rnacentral:rRNA from 1 species
UACGAAGGGUGCAAGCGUUACUCGGAAUUACUGGGCGUAAAGCGCGCGCAGGUGGUUUCUUAAGUCUGAUGUGAAAGCCCACGGCUCAACCGUGGAGGGUCAUUGGAAACUGGGGAACUUGAGUGCAGAAGAGGAAAGUGGAAUUCCAAGUGUAGCGGUGAAAUGCGUAGAGAUUUGGAGGAACACCAGUGGCGAAGGCGACUUUCUGGUCUGUAACUGACACUGAGGCGCGAAAGCGUGGGGAGCGAACAGG